rnacentral:rRNA from 1 species
GACAGAGGAUGCAAGCGUUAUCCGGAAUGAUUGGGCGUAAAGCAUCUGUAGGUGGCUUUUCAAGUCCGCCGUCAAAUCCCAGGGCUCAACCCUGGACAGGCGGUGGAAACUACCAAGCUGGAGUACGGUAGGGGCAGAGGGAAUUUCCAGUGGAGCGGUGAAAUGCAUUGAGAUCGGAAAGAACACCAACGACGAAAGCACUCUGCUGGGCCGACACUGACACUGAGAGACGAAAGCUAGGGGACCAAAUGGG